ACUUGACUUGAAAUAACUCAACUCCCAGCCAACACCGGAACUUAUUUAAACAAUAAAUACUUGCAAACUGAACAAAACAAGCUUCCCACACAGAGCCGAGUAACGUAACUGCUUUACACAGUGAGUGGGGACACAGCCUGCUCAGCGUCGCUCAUUACAAAGUGCAGUCCCGUGGGGCGUUCACCUGUUCCUGUCCCUGGGCCCACCUUCCCGGAAGUCAGAGGCUCCAGGGGUUCCUAGAGGCGUGAGUGUUUGGGAUGGGGACCCCGUGCUCAGAACCCCUUGGGCAGGAGGCAGGCCCAGCUGUAUGGAGCGAUGCUGCGGACUCUUCGUUGACACAGUUGCAGAGAAGAUUCAGGAUAUAAAUUUGAAGAAGGAUUAACCAUUCCCAGAACAAAUAGCCCUCGCCUGCUCUCCUCUUCACACACAAACCCCACUGCGUAUCCAAGUGCAAACAGGUGGAUUCUUAACCACUGCACCGCCAGGGAAGCCCUGCUUUCAGUUUUGAAAGCCAUGUUUCUUCCAGGGGCUGUUGCCUUUCAAGGCUCUGCACGGUUACGUGAUUCGUCUCUGACACGAACGACCGUUCUUCUCCAGCACGUGUGGACCCUGCUCAAGGAGGAAGAAUAGAAAGGACCUUGCCCUUGAGUUGCUUACAGCCACUCUGUUCAGGGAAUACUCUUUGGGCAAAGGAAAUUCCUGCCCAACGCCACUCAGAGGCAGGUGUGGGUGUGGCCUGCUCUGGCGCCAGCAGAGGCCGUUCUGGAGUCCCCAUGGCAGACCUUUCUCCGCACCGUUUUGGGUGGGUCCAGAGAGGAAAUUUUCCUUGGACCUGCGUCAUCUCUGCUCCGCAGAGUCCGGGAAGGCCAGAGGAUGGCGCUGGUCUCUGCAAAGAGCAGCCUGUGGUCAGGGAAGGCAGCCCACCUGGGUCAGAGGCCGCUGACAUCACAGGCUAAAUGGAUGUUCAGGGAGAGACCCCGUGACAACUGAGUUACAAGAGGCCUCCCAGAAGUUGUCUGACCUCAUGGAAAAAUCAAUGCACCUCUUGUUUUUGUCUCCUGAAAUAUUUCAUCAGUGAUGGUCCUUCCCCAGGUGACAACAUAUUUUAUGACAAAGUGCGGCAGGCUGCUGGGCCUCUGGUGGCUUCAGACACAGCCUGACAUCCUUCCCUGUCAUUACUGAUGAGUCUCACCUGCCUGGGGCUGGAAGGUGAUGCUUCCUCCCUGCCCCACUAGGGAGCCUGGGAGGGAGACCAGAUGCCAUAAACGCCAUCCGUUUCCGGAGAAGAUCCCCGUGGCAGUGAGCAGGCUGGAAUCCUAGGAUGUCAAAGCUAAUGUCAGGGCACCUGGGUCCACCCGAGGCCUGGAGAGAGUCCCCCGCCCUUCAGCAGAGUGUCUGGAGGGGAGGAGGUCCGAGGUUGCAUUGCUAGCUAAGGAGAGGGCAGAGACAAAAAUGCGAGACUUCUAGUUUCCAGUUCAGCAUUUUUUUCUGCUCCUCCAGCGGCUUUUACAAAGUGGCCCCCGUCCCUCCUCCCUCCCAUCCUUCUGCCCCACCUCUCCGCCCUCCCUCCCUUUUCACAGACAGCAGGGAGCCUUCCACAUGCCAGGUACUCCCUGGUGUUUAUUUGCUCAGCCCUGUUUGCAGACGGGGCCUUUCAAGGGGUGAGCAGCAUGUAGGAGAAGCAGUAUCUGGGGGGCCCGGAGCGCAGGAGGUCUGGAGGCACGCUGCUCUCCUGCGGUCCUGCUUCCUGGCUCCUAUCCUUGUCCACGCCCCCCCACCCGCCCCGUCUCCUGGGGACCACCUGCCCCUCAGAGCAGGGCCUCUGGGAUCCAGUCAGGGCCACGUAGGGUCACCUGAGGGUUGGAACAGGCCAAGGUCAGACGGCUUCUCUACGUCAUCCCUGAGGGGAAACAAGCACAGACACGGUUAACCUGCAGGGGGCAGGGACACAGAGAGGGCUUCGGUCCUUCAUCCUUCUCCUCGGGCCAGCUCCCCACGCCCCUGACGAUUAGGGGCAGGGGACAGGCCACAUGACCUCUCCUGGGGCUCCUUCCGCCUCAGGUCACUUUGUCCUGCCUCUGGAAGGAAGGAGAGCCCCAGGAGCCUCAGUUUCCUCUUCCGCCCCUUCCAGCUGGCUGCCGCGGUCAGUCCCUCUACUGUUCGCCUGUCUGUACCAGGGGGCUGGUGAGCUGAGGCCGGGGUCCCUUCCAGCCCGGCCACGCCCUGGUUGGCGGAGCUAAGGUUCUCAGGGUGGCUCCUGGACCUCCAGCUGUAGAAGCACCUCGGGGGCUUGUUAAGCAGGCAGAUUCCCAGGCCCUGUUCCCAAUCUCAGGGCUGAAAUGGCUGGCUUUGGGGCCUGGGAAUCUGCAGGCCUACCAGCACCCUCUGGUGAGGCUGCAGGACCAGAUGCCUCAAGGGCAGGACCCGGGGUGGAGGCAGCAGAGAGGUUUGGGCAGGCAGUGCAGGCUGGGGUGCCCCUUGUUAAUUGGAGAGGAACCUCCGUUUCUCCUGCAGAGUGAAUCCAAGCCCAUUAGAAACUGAAGGGCACAGCAGAGAAGGAGAGGGGUCGAGCUGGCCUCCACCCCCGCCUCUCCCUUCUCCACUCAGCCCCUCCCCCAGGCUGAUCGCCUUCCCAGAAUGGAGAUGUCACUCAGCACAGCCUGAUCUCAAGAAGCCGAACCCACCUCUUAACAGAGAUGCAAAUCCCUGAGCCCAGGGACUGAGCUUGGCGGAGGUUCUGGGGGUGCAGGGAGGGUGGGAUGGGGAGGCUGCCCCAGUGAGGGGGCGGUGCCCAGCCUGUGCCGGCUGCUUCCUCUCCACUCCAUCAGGUCUGGCACAUGCCAGGGUACCGGCUCCUGAUCCUGGCAAAGGGAAAUGAAGUUGCUGCCCCUGAGCUAAUUAAGGAGGCAGGGAGGCCGGCGGCUGGGAGCUGGCGAGCAGAGUGGUUGCAGUUGCCAAGUGUCCAACACGCUGCCCACGUGCCAGGGCCGGGGGGCGGCGGCGGGAGGUGGGGGGACGGGAAUCCUCCUUGAGCGAAGCCAGCUGUUUUGAGGUCAACUCCCCUCCCCCUGCCUGUGUCUGUCAAUUCAGCAGACGGGGUGUCUGUCCGUCUGUCAAUUCAGCCCACGGGGCGUCUGUCAAUUCAGCCCACGGGGCGUCUGUCCGUCUGUCAAUUCAGCCCACGGGGUGUCUGUACGUCUGUCAAUUCAGCCCAUGGGGCGUCUGUCCGUCUGUCAAUUCAGCAGACGGGGCGUCUGUCCGUCUGUCAAUUCAGCCCACGGGGCGUCUGUCCGUCUGUCAAUUCAGCAGACGGGGCGUCUGUCUGUCUGUCAAUUCAGCCCGCGGGGUGUCUGUCUGUCAAUUCAGCCCACGGGGCGUCUGUCUGUCUGUCAAUUCAGCAGACGGGGUGUCUGUCCGUCUGUCAAUUCAGCCCAUGGGGCGUCUGUCCGUCUGUCAAUUCAG